AAAAAGUCGUCGUCAUUUAAGGCAACUAUCUGAGAAAGUUGUCCUCGAAGUGUUGAGCUUCUUCAGGUCUACAGAGAUUAAAAACAUGAGAUGAAUCUGGGAAUAACACCUGAGGAUUCCAACUAUAUUCAAUACUGCCUGCUGCUUCAUUCAGCUGUGGACCUCCGAUGUGUGCUGCUGAUGAUUGGGAAUGUAGUGCCCCAUGAGGAAGACUGAAGGCUGUGGAGUACAGAGUCUGGAACUGUUCUGACAGCCUUCUGGCCUUUCCUUGGCUUGGGUUAUAAUCCCCAUGUGAUAAAGUGUCCUGUUGGCUUUAGCUGGUGCCUCUUCAAUAGCCAGACACAUCUGAGGACUGUGGAUCUUCCUGUUCUGCACCCAGACUAGCCCAGCGCUAGAGCUCCCUCCUUCAUAGCUAUCGUCCUCAGGAGCUCUCAUCUGGAUUUAAUCUUGAUAUGGAACACUGUAAUACAAGAGAUUGACAGGAAUGAAUUGUGAUGGCUUAACUAAGAUAGAAGGUAGAAAGAAAACCAAUGAAAGUACAUUUUUAUAAGCAAGCAGUACAGAAAACUGUAAUGAAUGAGAGGUAAAAGCAAGGGAAGUGGAGCAAAUGGUUCAGAAAGACAGCAGAGUUGUGAAUAAAGACCACUGUAAUAUGCAAAUCUUCCAGGCAAGCAGAAAAAGAAUUAGAACGGCUUAUCUUGCUGUGAAAUGAAAAGACCUUUUCCAAGUCAACAUCCGGAAGUUUCUGACAAUGAGAAGAGGUGUUAACAGCUGCCAUGAAAGGGCUUCUGAACUUGGUAUUAGUAUGAAGCUUAUUUCUUCAUCAGCCAUGUAAAUAAUUUGCUACAUUAAUAAAAAAUAUAUUUGUUUUCCCAGGAAAGAGCAGACUACAUCCACAUUGUAUUUUGCUCCAGUAAUGGAGAGGGGGGGAAAAAAAAGAAAAAAAAAAAGCAAAACUAAAACAGAACAAGAAAUUCUAGAGCAGAAUACUAAUAUGUUCAAAUAGUGCCUUGGGCUGUAAGAAUUACUCCUGAAGUGGACAUUUGUUUUUCACUCACAGUGUUUGACAUUAACUUUUGACUUCUGCUUCUAUCAAGGCAAAAUAUUAUCGUAGCCUUAAGCCAUAGUGUAACCUAUCUCUGUGCUCUAUAGUUGGAAUUUUCAUUAAAAAGAUAUAUUUUGACAUUCUAGAGUGAGUGUGCCCAUAAGGAAUGAGAUUUUUCAAGCAUAAAUUAUAGGUACUUCAGCUCACAAAGAUGGAGCAUACUGCAGCUUCUUCAGGGAACUUCACACAACUCUCUGAAGCUCUCUGCUUCAGAGAAUAUCCCAGGAUAUUCUUAAUAAUUUCCUUGAAAAAUGUGGGGACAUUUAACCAAGUUAAAUGUCUCUGAAGUUGAAUUAUUUUAUUUGCCAUUAUCCUAAAUAAAGAAUGUAAAUUUGGUAUGAAAAAGACACAAGCAUCUGACAUCAGGAGGUAAAAUAUCUUUAUACUGUAUUAAUGUUUCUUUCCCUGUGUUUUUUCUUUCUGUGUUUUAAUUAGAGAGCUCCAUGUCAUUCCACUUUGCUCAGUUAGACAUUAAGCCCUGAAACAGACAAACUAUGAAUGAAAUCUUAAAUGUUUUCUGGUUUUUGUCCAUGACUGUACCUCUAGUAUGUAUGUGGCUUCCUCUUUUCUCCCGUUAUCAUUUUAAUGGUCCUCCUUGGACUCCAAAUCCCCCAAACAACUGAUUAAAAAUGGUAAGGAACAGAUCCCAUUGAUGGAAACUUUGUCGUCUUUUGGGUGCAAGUACAUGCACACAAGGAAAGAAUUAAAACAACAGCUUACAUCCUACUAGUGGUAAGUGAAUGAUUGUCUUCUUACUACUCUAAAGGAUGAUAGUACAAUGCCUCUGUAAAAGUCUGUGCAUUCUGUGAAAACAGACUGUAAUUAAAGCCUUGAGUCAUAUUAGUUUGUUGCCUAUAGCAAGAAGGUAAUUGUGCUGCUGGGUUACUACUUCUUAAAAGACAGAAAAAAACCUCUAUGGUUUGGCUUGAAGACUCUCAAUUCCUGAGCAAAAGGCAGCAUAUACUCUUUUAUUACCUCACUGAUUAAUGAAAUUCAAUAUGACGAAUGCCAUACUGUGGUGACAAUGCAGCCUCUAUAUUCAUGAAAUGUCACUUUUUUUCAAGUGACAGCUCCAGAUCAGAACUUGUGCUUUGUGUUUUUUAGAUAGUUUAGCCAAAGUGGCUUUUAUGGGGGGAGAGACUGUUUUGAUUAAACAGAAGCCAGAUAUGAAAUUAAAGAAAGAGUUCAGAGGUUGCUGUUAUGUUUUGGCAAAGAUAUUUCUUCAUUUUUUAGCUUUG